rnacentral:rRNA from 1 species
AGCAGCCGCGGUAAUUCCAGCUCCAAUAGCGUAUAUUAAAGUUGUUGCAGUUAAAAAGCUCGUAGUUGAAUUUCGGGGUUAGCAGGUCGGUCGUGCCAUCGGUAUGAACUGGUCUCGCUGAUCCCUCCCUCUUGACGAACUGUGAUGCCAUUAAUUUGGUGUCGCAGGGAAUCAGGACUGUUACUUUGAAAAAUUAGAGUGUUUAAAGCAGGCUCACGCUUGAAUACAUUAGCAUGGAAUAAUGAAAUAGGACGUUUGAUCCUAUUUUGUUGGUUUCUAGGAUUGACGUAAUGAUUAAUAGGGAUAGUUGGGGGCAUUAGUAUUCAAUUGUCAGAGGUGAAAUUCUUGGAUUUAUUGAAGACUAACUACUGCGAAAGCAUUUGCCAAGGAUGUUUUCAUUAAUCAAGAACGAAGGUUAGGGGAUCGAAGACGAUCAGAUACCGUCGUAGUCUUAACCAUAAACUACGCCGACUAGGGAUCGGAUGAUGUUAAUUUUUUAAUGACUCA